rnacentral:lncRNA from 1 species
ACCUCACUCACAUCUUCCUUUGCACAAAAUCCAAAGAAAAAUUCUACCCCAAAAACUUACCCAAAAUUACAAUCUUCUACCAAUAGGAAGAGCGUUCAAUCUCCUCUAUCAAAAAGACCACCACCUCAUGUAAAUGUGCCUUUAGCAUCGUAAUCUCAUCGAUAGUUGUCUUGGACAUCUCCCAUCAAAAUCGGCGAACAUCUUAGAUCACUUGGGACCA